GGAGGAAGGAAGUGGAACGGGGAUUUCGCAUGCAUGGGCCGCAAACAUUCUCAAGAACUUGUUACCAAACUUUUUUUAUGUUGAAUAAAAGCUCCAUCACAAAAAUCGGAAGACGCGACGUGCCAGCUCAAAUGUACUCUGUCUCGGACCUACUAGAUUUUCUUUUUGCUAUGGAUCAAGACCCCAUGCACUCCAAAUCUACAAUGCCAUUAGACGUGAUUAGUGAAA
rnacentral:lncRNA from 1 species